AACGAACGCUGGCGGCAGGCCUAACACAUGCAAGUCGAGCGGAUGAGGGGAGCUUGCUCCUCGAUUCAGCGGCGGACGGGUGAGUAAUGCCUAGGAAUCUGCCUAGUAGUGGGGGACAACGUUUCGAAAGGAACGCUAAUACCGCAUACGUCCUACGGGAGAAAGUGGGGGAUCUUCGGACCUCACGCUAUUAGAUGAGCCUAGGUCGGAUUAGCUAGUUGGUAGGGUAAAGGCCUACCAAGGCGACGAUCCGUAACUGGUCUGAGAGGAUGAUCAGUCACACUGGGACUGAGACACGGUCCAGACUCCUACGGGAGGCAGCAGUGGGGAAUAUUGGACAAUGGGCGAAAGCCUGAUCCAGCCAUGCCGCGUGUGUGAAGAAGGCCUUCGGGUCGUAAAGCACUUUAAGUUGGGAGGAAGGGCUCAUAGCGAAUACCUGUGAGUUUUGACGUUACCAACAGAAUAAGCACCGGCUAACUUCGUGCCAGCAGCCGCCGUAA
rnacentral:rRNA from 1 species